rnacentral:rRNA from 1 species
UACAGGGGGUGCAAACGUUGCUCGGAAUCAUUGGGCGUAAAGCGCACGUAGGCGGUUCGUUAUGUCGGAUGUGAAAGCCCUUGGCUUAACCGAGGAAGUGCAUCCGAAACUGGCGAGCUAGAGUACUAAAGAGGAUCGCGGAAUUCCCGGUGUAGAGGUGAAAUUCGUAGAUAUGGGGAGGAACACCGGUGGCGAAGGCGGCGAUCUGGGUAGAUACUGACGCUGAGGCACGAAAGCGUGGGGAGCAAACAGG